rnacentral:rRNA from 1 species
AGAGUUUGAUCCUGGCUCAGAUUGAACGCUGGCGGCAUGCCUUACACAUGCAAGUCGAACGGCAGCACGGGAGCAAUCCUGGUGGCGAGUGGCGAACGGGUGAGUAAUAUAUCGGAACGUGCCCAGUCGUGGGGGAUAACGCAGCGAAAGCUGUGCUAAUACCGCAUACGAUCUAUGGAUGAAAGCGGGGGAUCGCAAGACCUCGCGCGAUUGGAGCGGCCGAUAUCAGAUUAGCUAGUUGGCGGGGUAAAAGCCCACCAAGGCGACGAUCUGUAGCUGGUCUGAGAGGACGACCAGCCACACUGGAACUGAGACACGGUCCAGACUCCUACGGGAGGCAGCAGUGGGGAAUUUUGGACAAUGGGCGCAAGCCUGAUCCAGCAAUGCCGCGUGCAAGACGAAGGCCUUCGGGUUGUAAACUGCUUUUGUGCGGAACGAAACGGUCUCUCCUAAUACGAGAGGCUAAUGACGGUACCGUAAGAAUAAGCACCGGCUAACUACGUGCCAGCAGCCGCGGUAAUACGUAGGGUGCAAGCGUUAAUCGGAAUUACUGGGCGUAAAGCGUGCGCAGGCGGUUAUAUAAGACAGAUGUGAAAUCCCCGGGCUCAACCUGGGACCUGCAUUUGUGACUGUAUAGCUAGAGUACGGUAGAGGGGGAUGGAAUUCCGCGUGUAGCAGUGAAAUGCGUAGAUAUGCGGAGGAACACCGAUGGCGAAGGCAAUCCCCUGGACCUGUACUGACGCUCAUGCACGAAAGCGUGGAGAGCGAACAGGAUUAGAUACCCUGGGUAGUCCACGCCCUAAACGAUGUCAACUGGUUGUUGGGUCUUCACUGACUCAGUAACGAAGCUAACGCGUGAAGUUGACCGCCUGGGGAGUACGGCCGCAAGGUUGAAACUCAAAGGAAUUGACGGGGACCCGCACAAGCGGGGGAUGAUGUGGUUUAAUUCGAUGCAACGCGAAAAACCUUACCCACCUUUGACAUGUACGGAAUCCUUUAGAGAUAGAGGAGUGCUCGAAAGAGAGCCGUAACACAGGUGCUGCAUGGCUGUCGUCAGCUCGUGUCGUGAGAUGUUGGGUUAAGUCCCGCAACGAGCGCAACCCUUGUCAUUAGUUGCUACAUUUAGUUGGGCACUCUAAUGAGACUGCCGGUGACAAACCGGAGGAAGGUGGGGAUGACGUCAAGUCCUCAUGGCCCUUAUAGGUGGGGCUACACACGUCAUACAAUGGCUGGUACAAAGGGUUGCCAACCCGCGAGGGGGAGCUAAUCCCACAAAGCCAGUCGUAGUCCGGAUCGUAGUCUGCAACUCGACUACGUGAAGUCGGAAUCGCUAGUAAUCGUGGAUCAGAAUGUCACGGUGAAUACGUUCCCGGGUCUUGUACACACCGCCCGUCACACCAUGGGAGCGGGUUCUGCCAGAAGUAGUUAGCCUAACCGCAAGGAGGGCGAUUACCACGGCAGGGUUCGUGACUGGGGUGAAGUCGUAACAAGGUA